rnacentral:lncRNA from 1 species
UGUCAUCUCCCCACUCCGCAUCUCCAAAGGGCUCCAAAGAAGCCGAGUCUGCGGCCAAAACUUCGAACGUUUCUUACAACAUCUCCAGGAGCCGGGUCUCUUCGAAUUCAACUAAGGGAAAAGAAAGUUACCCCCGCCCCCCAGCCCCGAAACAAAAGCCUCCUUCCGGGGCCUCCUGCUGCUGCCCUGGGGAGGGAAGGAAGCGCCCUUCCCUCACGGUCAACCUCAAACCAGUACCCUUCCCGAGGGCCCAAUAGCUGCUGCAAAUAAGUCAUCACCGCUGCCUCUCCUAAGUCCCCAUACCUGCGUCCCUCCCUCCGUUAGGAUCCCCCCGACACGAUUCUCCGGCUGGGGCUUGUCCCCAGUCUGGAUCCCGGCUCCGUGCCCGCAAAGAUUUCCCUGCUGUUUUAAAGCCUUGUCAGGAAUGGCGGGGGCGGGCGCCCUGGGAGGCCCAGAGAGUCGAGGAGGAGAAAUCCGAGUCCGCCCUCCACAAGUGGAACGUUCCCUGGGGCGCCUAGUUUUCUCACAAUUAGAGGCCAGGCCGCCGGGGGGCUCUCCAGCUUGGGGCGGGGUGGGGCUCCCCCAGCUCCAGCAGCCCGACCGCGCGGCGGGCGCGGGCGGUGGCACCCCCAGCCCUUCCCCAGUCGGCUCGAUCGCAGGCUCUCGGGCUUCCGCGCCUGGUGCUCAACGGCCGCGGACACAGCUGGGCCGAGCUUCCCGGCAACUGGGACUCCCUCCACCCCCAAUCUCAGCCUCAGCCCAGGCCUUUCGGUCUGAGAAAGUGGGCCCGGGGCUGCAAGAGUUAAAAUGUUCUCUAGCCUUUCACUGUGCCAUCCCCGUCUCCGCUGGGAACGCCCCCCGCCCUCGGUCCUCGGCAGGCUGGAUCUCCGCGAUUCGAGAACCCAACUUAUCGCCGCGGCCUUGGCCGGGACCGCGCGGACCAACCCAGCGGUCGGCAUUCGGAGCCACGCUGCCCCCUGCUGGACAGGCCUGGAGGGAAGCCCAGGAAUGGGGGCACUUCGCUCCGUCCUGCUCGAAGCCCCGAGGAACCCUCCACCGCUGGCCCUGGCGGCGUCUGGUCUUGCCCUCAAAAUCUUCUUGACGCACCUCCCAGGGGCACAUGGAAACGAGGGGGACAGAGAGCUCCCUGUUCUGGACCGGCCUAUGAGAUAUCCGCUAGUAGAGCAAGAUCCCAGGACCAAAAUUCCUCGGGUCCAAAAGGACUCGCAACAGGAAAGGCUGGAGCCCAUAUCCCAGAGAACUGUGACCCCUGGGCAUCUGGAGCGAGGGCUAGUCAGUGGGUUUGGGGCUUCGAUGGCUGGCUCGGGCCCAGGCAGCGCCGGCUGUGGUAUGGGUGGUGCCUGGCCUCAGCUUGUGUAAGCGCCCAG